GCCUUCGUGGUGUAACGAGAAAGCACGUCCGUCUAAUAAACAGAAGGUCUAGAGUUCGAGUCCCAGCGAGGACA
rnacentral:tRNA from 1 species